rnacentral:rRNA from 1 species
AGCGAACGCUGGCGGCGUGCUUAACACAUGCAAGUCGAGUGCGCGGUUCGUAGCAAUACGAACUGGCGCACGGCGCACGGGUGAGGAACACGUGGGCAACAUGCCCUCCGAUGGGGAAUAACCCGCCGAAAGGCGGGCUAAUACCGCAUACGAUUCCGGGGACCUCGGUUCCUGGACUGAAAGCCCGCAAGGGCGUCGGUGGAGUGGCCCGCGGCCGAUUAGCUUGUUGGCGGGGUAACGGCCCACCAAGGCAAUGAUCGGUAG